rnacentral:rRNA from 1 species
CAAUAGCGUAUAUUAAAGUUGUUGCGGUAAAAAAGCUCGUAGUUGGAUUUCUGUUGAGAGCGACCGGUCCAUACCAUGUAUGCGUAUCUGGCUUGCUCUCGGCAUCCUCUCGAUAGACGUUACUGCGCUUGAUUGCGUGGUGCGGAUCUCGGGACUUUUACUUUGAGGAAAUUAGAGUGUUCACGGCAGGCUUUCGCCAGAAUACAUUAGCAUGGAAUAAUACUAUAGGAUCUUGGUUCUACUUUGUUGGUUUCUAGAAUUGAGAUAAUGAUUAAUAGGGACAAUUGGGGGCAUUCGUAUCAACACGUCAGAGGUGGAAUUCUUGGAUUGUGUUGCGACGAACUACUGCGAAAGCAUUUGCCAAGGAUGUUUUCAUUGA